GUCUUUACUGUCUGGGUGAUCAAGAAAUUGCUGAAUUGAUCCCAACAGUGGGACCAAGGUCAAAAUUCAAGAAGAGACUCAAGUUGUUAAAGGAAGAACAAAACACAACAAAUCCGGAAACAGUUGAAUCUUCUGCUCAAUGUAAACAGGAGUAUGAAGAAGAAGAUGUU